GAUGAACGCUGGCGGCGUGCCUAAUACAUGCAAGUCGAACGCAUAGCGAAAGGUGCUUGCACCUUUCAAGUGAGUGGCGAACGGGUGAGUAACACGUGGACAACCUGCCUCAAGGCUGGGGAUAACAUUUGGAAACAGAUGCUAAUACCGAAUAAAACUUAGUGUCGCAUGACACAAAGUUAAAAGGCGCUUCGGCGUCACCUAGAGAUGGAUCCGCGGUGCAUUAGUUAGUUGGUGGGGUAAAGGCCUACCAAGACAAUGAUGCAUAGCCGAGUUGAGAGACUGGUCGGCCACAUUGGGACUGAGACACGGCCCCAACUCCUGCGGGAGGCUGCAGUAGGGAAUCUUCCACAAUGGGCGAAAGCCUGAUGGAGCAACGCCGCGUGUGUGAUGAAGGCGUUCGGGUCGUAAAGCACUGUUGUAUGGGAAGAACAGCUAGAAUAGGAAAUGAUUUUAGUUUGACGGUACCAGACCAGAAAGGGACGGCUAAAUACGUG
rnacentral:rRNA from 1 species